rnacentral:rRNA from 1 species
UACGGGGGGGGCAAGCGUUGUUCGGAAUUACUGGGCGUAAAGGGCUCGUAGGCGGCCAACUAAGUCCGACGUGAAAUCCCCAGGCUUAACCUGGGAACUGCGUCGGAUACUGGAUGGCUUGAAUCCGGGAGAGGGAUGCGGAAUUCCUGGUGUAGCGGUGAAAUGCGUAGAUAUCAGGAGGAACACCUGCGGUGUAGACGGCUUACUGGACCAUAACUGACGCUGAGGCACGAAAGCGUGGGUAGCAAACAGG